UAACCUGCCCAAGAGAUCGGGAUAACACCUGGAAACAGAUGCUAAUACCGGAUAACAACAGAUGAUGCCUAUCAACUGUUUAAAAGAUGGUUCUGCUAUCACUCUUGGAUGGACCUGCGGUGCAUUAGCUAGUUGGUAGGGUAACGGCCUACCAAGGCGAUGAUGCAUGGCCGAGUUGAGAGACUGAUCGGCCACAUUGGGACUGAGACACGGCCCAAACUCCUACGGGAGGCAGCAGGCC
rnacentral:rRNA from 1 species